rnacentral:rRNA from 1 species
CCUACGGGAGGCAGCAGUGGGGAAUAUUGCACAAUGGGGGGAACCCUGAUGCAGCGACGCCGCGUGAGUGAAGAAGUAUUUCGGUAUGUAAAGCUCUGUCAGCAGGGAAGAAGAAAGACGGUACCUGACCAAGAAGCCCCGGCUAACGACGUGCCAGCAGCCGCGGUAAUACGUAGGGGGCAAGCGUUAUCCGGACUUACUGGGUGUAAAGGGAGCGUAGACGGCAGGGCAAGUCCGGAGUGAAAGGCCGGGGCACAACGCCUGGACUGCUCUGGAAACUGUCCGGCUGGAGUGCGGGAGAGGUAAGUGGAAUUCCUGGUGUAGCGGUGAAAUGCGUAGAUAUUAGGAGGAACACCAGUGGCGAAGGCGGCUUACUGGACUGUAACUGACGUUGAGGCUCGAAAGCGUGGGGAGCAAACAGGAUUAGAUACCCUAGUAGUC